CCAGGCUGGGUACAGAAUCUGACUUGUAUAGAGAGAGGUUACUCAGGCUUAGGAACUCUAGGAGUUGGAUUACAUUGUCAAAAGAGGGUGGUAUAUAGGCCCAUGGUAAACGAUUAAUUGGGUCUAAAGCUCGAUAAUCCAGCUGUUUGCCUCCAGAGAGAUAGGAGGGGAGACGUCAUAGCAAUUUUGAAAGGGAAAGGCACUGAUCUUGUCUAUAUGGCUGAUUCCUUCUUUCUUAAUUUGGUGUUGAUGUUCCAGUCCAUCUGGGCUGCAGGACUAGCUCACAGAAAGUUGGCAGGGAAGGUUCCUUAUUAUGCUUCCCUCUUCACUCCUACUGCAAACCAGACUUUCUUGCGUGGGAGAAGAGAACUAGAAAGGGAAGAUAAGAAACAAAAUAAUUCAGCCCCUCAAUUAAAAAGAGACAUUCCUAAGUGAACUGCAGCAGGAUACUGAAUCAAUUAAUCCAAGGGACUGUGUUUGAACUUGGCUUUUAGCAUAUUUGUGUCUCUCCCUGUCAUGAGCUGGCUUCCCUUUAAGGCAAGCUGGGAUCAGCAUUGCCCUUAACUUAGGAGCUAUCCUUCAGCCUCACUAACCUGGCAACAUCAAGACUAAUUAGCGACACCAUCUAGUUGUAAUGGGACUGACCAUUCCUUUGUGGUGAUGAAGCAGGAAGAGCUCUACUUAAAUAGAGCUGGG